rnacentral:rRNA from 1 species
CUUUUGUGGGGUGCUCGAGUGGCGAACGGGCGAGUAACACGUGAGUAACCUGCCCUUGACUUUGGGAUAACUUCAGGAAACUGGGGCUAAUACCGGAUAGGAGCUCCUGCUGCAUGGUGGGGGUUGGAAAGUUUCGGCGGUUGGGGAUGGACUCGCGGCUUAUCAGCUUGUUGGUGGGGUAGUGGCUUACCAAGGCUUUGACGGGUAGCCGGCCUGAGAGGGUGACCGGCCACAUUGGGACUGAGAUACGGCCCAG